rnacentral:tRNA from 1 species
GCCCCCGUGACCCAACGGCAGAGGUAGGGGCCUUAAAAGCCUCUUCGGUGUGGGUUCGACUCCCACCGGGGGCACCG